rnacentral:lncRNA from 1 species
GGGUGUCUGACCCUUGGUCUACCGCUUGCUGAGACCCCUUCCCUGUCGGGUCAGAGGCGCCUUUGCGCUCCGGUCUUAGCCUUCUCUCGGUGCCCCGGCGACAGGUUAGCAUCCCUGAGGCAGCCUCUUACCGUUGGCUGCCUGGGAGCCGUCCGCUCUGCUAGCAAAGCCGGCUGUGUUGAGGACUGCCCUUCCGGAGACCCCGGCGAGUGUCAUCGCUCUGCCUGCGGGGGACUACCUGCGGGGCAGAAGGGGCCUAGAAGGCUUCGUCGUGGUGUGCGGUACUGUAGAAAGAGUGCUGCGUACUAGCCUCUGCUUUCCCCUCUGUAAAGUAGGGACAACGAAGUAACACGUGUAUUAACCCCAGCGCAUAGGCUAUGCGCAAUAAAUGCCCAGCACUCUUGAGUGAAGAGUUCAGCUUCCUUGAUUCAGGCCGAUCCAGUGGCCGACCAGAGCCCCCACCCUUAAUUCUGGGGAGGAAAUUUGGGGUUAUCUUACUUUGCACUAUAUGUUCUCAAAUACCUCUUAAGAGAGUCCAGCACCCUCAGCCCACCGCACACAUCUGCACCUAGAGCCCUUCUUGUCAGGUAGUUUGUUACUUUGGUGGCCCCAGUGAAACAAGCCUCCUGACAGUGUAACCUUGUGUGGUCGUCAACCCUGGAAUCUGGACUGGACCUGUGAUUCGAUGUAACCAAUGGCAGAACGUGGCAGAAGUGACUGUGCCAAUUACAGAUACGAGCUUUGAGAAUACCUGGUAACCUUGAUUUUGAUUUUGAUAAUCCUGAGCUGCUCCCCCUCUUCCACCUUGCUGUAGAAAGAUGACACAGAGACAUAGAGAGGGAAAGGCCCUGAGACAUGGAGAAGUCGAGACCCAGUUACCACCAAGAAGUGAAGUCCCAGACACAUGUACCUGGUGAACCCAUCCCAGCUGAGGGACCAGUCAUUGAGGGAAGAAGAUACCUAGGUUGUCCCAGCCAUCUGAGCUGUUCCUCAUUACCUGGAACAGAGGUAAGUCUUUCCUCCUGUGCCUUUUCCAAAAUCCUGAGAAACUGGCUGUCAGUUGAAGCCUCUAAGUUUUGGAGAGGUUUAUUAUUCAGCAAUAGAUAACCAGACAUUGUCUGACAUAAGCCUUGUGUUGUGAGGAAUAUUCCUGGGUCAGCUCAGAGUUUGAGCACCCUGCAGUCCCUGGGAAACAAAGAAAUCCACUUUUGCUUUACCUUAGAGCUCAGAAUUCUAGAAUAUACCCCGUACUCAUACCUAGGUCCUGACCUACCUUCCUGUGUAUCCACUUCAAGGCAGGUGAAGCCUAACAGCCACCAGUCUGGCCCUCAGCUCUCCACCCACACAUCCCUCCUAUUGUUACACAAAACACAUUGUUCAGCUUAGGCCUUACCACAGGCAUUCUGGUUUGGGGGUGGUUUUUGCUGCAGUGUCCUACAGGGGCUGUGUAGAAUGAGGUGGGGAUGGAAGACAUGGCCCUACCCUCUGGCAAGAACCCAGUCAGAUGGAGGUGGCUUACAUGAAGUUAUGCCCUGGCUUCAGGAAGCACUGCUCUCCCUACUCCCCCAGGCCAGAAAGGGAACCAGACUUUCCCUUCUUUCUUCACAGCAAAACUGAAGCCAGGCUGUGAAGUUUCACAUAAUUUUACGAAUACUCAGAGGUAAGAGAAAAUGGUUUGCGUCCACAGGGCAGCAAUAUGGCUGCCCUAGAACCUUGGUACAGCAAAUGUUUUCCUCUUUAAUCUACUCCCUUCUCUGGUUCUCUUUCCUUAGCCAUGUUUUGCUCAAAUGAUCUUGCCUUAAAAAAACAAAAUCUGGGACGCCUGAGUGGCUCAGUCGGAUUCUGUGUCUCCCUCUCUCUGCCCCUGCCCGCUCACACUCUGUCUCUCUGUAUCUCAAAAAUGAAUAAAUGCUAAAAAAAAUUUUUUAAUAAGAAACAAAAUCUUACCUUGACUAUGCAGGGAAAUACUGCAAUCUUCUUUCUCCUUUAAUGUUGUCAGUCUCCUGCACUUUAUACUUUUGCAUGGUGGAAUUAAAGAUGGCUACAAAUUGUUUUGCACUCCUUCCAUGGAAAGAUGGGGACUAAUUCCCCCAACUCCUUGAAUCUGGGCUGGUCUUAGUGUUUGUUGCACCAAUAGACUGUGGUGGAAGUGAAAUACUGAAACUUCUGAGUCAAGGUCCAAGAAGUUUUGCUGCUUCUUUCUGAGUGCCUUCGAACACUUGCUCUGAGGAAAUCCAGCUGCCAUAAAAGAAGCCCAGCUAAUCUGAUACUGCCAUAUUGCAAGGAAGCAGCCGCAGCCAUUCCGGACCCUAGCCGUUCGGUUCUUCCCAGUUAGGGUCCCAGACACUAAUGAAGCAGAGGGGGUGCCACCUCUGCUAACCCACCCAAACCGCGGAUACAUGAGCAAAAUAAAUAAAUGUACUUCUCUAAGCC